rnacentral:piRNA from 1 species
UGCCAAGAUGGGAAAUCCUUGCCUGCUCAUU